GAUGAACGCUGGCGGCGUGCCUAAUACAUGCAAGUCGAGCGAACAGACGAGGAGCUUGCUCCUCUGACGUUAGCGGCGGACGGGUGAGUAACACGUGGAUAACCUACCUAUAAGACUGGGAUAACUUCGGGAAACCGGAGCUAAUACCGGAUAAUAUAUUGAACCGCAUGGUUCAAUAGUGAAAGACGGUUUUGCUGUCACUUAUAGAUGGAUCCGCGCCGCAUUAGCUAGUUGGUAAGGUAACGGCUUACCAAGGCAACGAUGCGUAGCCGACCUGAGAGGGUGAUCGGCCACACGGGAACUGAGACACGGUCCAGACUCCUACGGGAGGCAGCAGUAGGGAAUCUUCCGCAAUGGGCGAAAGCCUGACGGAGCAACGCCGCGUGAGUGAUGAAGGUCUUCGGAUUGUAAAACUCUGUUAUUAGGGAAGAACAAAUGUGUAAGUAACUAUGCACGUCUUGACGGUACCUAAUCAGAAAGCCACGGCUAACUACGUG
rnacentral:rRNA from 1 species